rnacentral:lncRNA from 1 species
GGGGUAUAGGUCCUAAUAAUAUAUAAAAUAGUGACCAAUGAGUGUACUUUCUGGUAAAAAAUAGCAUAGGGUCACUUUCUAGAUGUCGUUCAACAAGUGAACACUCAACUUACAUUUUAAUGUACAUGUAUAUAUAUUGAUAAUUUGUAUAUUCAUUUUGAUUUGCCUAUACAUACAUGUUUUAAGGUGUAGGUCAGAGCACCUGACCCUGGAGACGGGAUUGCGCACUUGGCACAGGUUUCUAGAGUUUUUUUUAUCUCUAGUUGUUCCUGGCAGGUGUCAUAUGGUAUUUUGAACCCCCUAAAAAGUGAAUUGACCCAGUUGACCUGGCUGGGGUCAAUUUUCCCAUAUUGUAUUUUGAACACCCCCACCCCCUUGCGGUAUAUAGAAC